GACGUAGGAGGCGAGCGUUGUCCGGAUUCAUUGGGCGUAAAGAGCGCGCAGGCGGCUUGGUAAGUCGGAUGUGAAAUCCCGAGGCUCAACCUCGGGUCUGUCAUCCGAUACUGCCCGGCUAGAGGUAGGUAGGGGAGAUCGGAAUUCCUGGUGUGAGCGGUGAAAUGACGCAGAUAUCAGGGAGGAACACCGGUGGGCGAAGGCGGAUCUCUGGGACGUGACUGACGCUGAGACGCGAAAGCGUGGGGAGCAAACAGG
rnacentral:rRNA from 1 species